GAUGAACGCUGGCGGCGUGCCUAAUACAUGCAAGUCGAGCGAACAGACGAGGAGCUUGCUCCUCUGACGUUAGCGGCGGACGGGUGAGUAACACGUGGAUAACCUACCUAUAAGACUGGAAUAACUUCGGGAAACCGGAGCUAAUACCGGAUAAUAUAUUGAACCGCAUGGUUCAAUAGUGAAAGACGGUUUUGCUGUCACUUAUAGAUGGAUCCGCGCCGCAUUGGCUAGUUGGUAAGGUAACGGCUUACCAAGGCAACGAUGCGUAGCCGACCUGAGAGGGUGAUCGGCCACACUGGAACUGAGACACGGUCCAGACUCCUACGGGAGGCAGCAGUAGGGAAUCUUCCGCAAUGGGCGAAAGCUUGACGGAGCAACGCCGCGUGAGUGAUGAAGGUCUUCGGAUCGUAAAACUCUGUUAUUAGGGAAGAACAAAUGUGUAAGUAACUAUGCACGUCUUGACGGUACCUAAUCAGAAAGCCACGGCUAACUACGUG
rnacentral:rRNA from 1 species